GGCAAAACUUAUUCACAGUUACCGAGGACAUCGCGCUCAGGAUCGAUUCGUAUUAUUAAUAAAAAGAAAAACUAUUAUUUAUCGUUAAACAUGAAUGAACAUUACUUGGUAUCACGCGACAAAUUGCUACCCGCACAGUGUUCGCAAAUUGACUUGAGAAAACUUCCUAUAUAUUUUCAUCUCUCGCAACGCGAAAUUACUUUCAUGAACGAAUGAUAUUUACAUUAAAAAACGAAGAACCGUGAAACUUUGCGCAUA